GAGAGGAAUGAAGAAUGAAAUUGUAAAUGCAAGCAGGUGUUUCACCAGGCAGAUAUCAACACAGCUUUGUAAAAGAUUGUUUCUAGAACAGUUGACAGUGGAGUCCUGGAGGAUGCCAGUGUCAGUUCCAGCUGCAGACAGACGGCAGAGAGCCUUAGCAGCAUUUUCUCUCAGUUUUCUCUCUUUAGCCUUGUCCGUUACAGCAUUCAGUAGCAGUUACUGGUGUGAAGGAGCAAGAAAAGUUGCCAAACCUUUCUGUACAGGACAGAGCAAAGGGCAUCACUGCAUCCACUCUAGUAGCCCUAAUGCCAGCAACAGCAAUGCUGUGCAGUACAUUUGGGAGACAGGAGAUGACAAGUUUAUUGACCGGAAGUUUCAUGCUGGGAUUUGGUAUUCCUGUGAAGAAAUUAUAAAUGAAGAAGGUGAGAAGUGUAGAAGCUUCAUCAGUCUGACUCCAGCUUCUGAUCGAGGGGUUUUCUGGCUGUCCAUUGUAGCAGAGUUUCUGUACAUCAUUUUGCUUCUGACUGGAGCCAUUCUUAUGUCAGUAGAAAUGUGCUACUGCAGUGGUGUCAUUGAUGGGCUAAAGAUCAACGCCUUUUCAGCAGUAGUCACCGUAUUAGCAGGUCUCCUGGGCAUGGUUGCUCACAUGAUGUACACAACUGUAUUUCAAAUGACUGUGAAUCUUGGUCCUGAAGACUGGAGACCUCACACAUGGGAUUAUGGCUGGUCCUAUUGGUACCUAUUUAUAUUUGGUUCUUCCGUUACAUUUCAGUCACUUCACCCUAUGUUCAAGGAAUGUAACUAAUUUAUAAGGAAUGGGUCUAUCUUAUUUAAGUUCUGGGGAUGCAGCUGUUUUUCUCCAAGUUCAGUUAUUUUAUUGUUGCAUAGAAUGUAUAAGCUUGUGAAUUUUGCAUUUGCCAUCCUUUAGACAGUGCAGAGACUUCCAACUGCUCUGCAUGAAGCAGAGGUUCUUCUCCAUACACAUCAGAUCCAGGUUUAGUACCCUAAUUUCCCAGAUUAUCUACCUUGCAUAAGUUGUUUAAAACUCUUCCAGUUUUAGCCAUUUAGGUUGAUUUUUUCCUUAUCAGAUAUAUGCUUCAGGUUGUACAUGGAGCGUAAAUCAAAAAUCAAUCAGGACCAAAAUUUUGCGUCAGUAGAACAGAGCUUAAACUGUUUGUCUCUCUUAUAUGUGCUCUGGCAGCUGAGAUCACAGCUCAUUGUCGCUCAUUCUUUCUUUUUAUUGUACUGACAAGAAUUUAUGAUGCAGGCUUCCUAGGGAUUUUUGCAGUGAAAUAAGGGGUUUCUUCUGUCUUUUGUUCUGUUACUUUUCACCUUCCUAAGAAUUCAAAUCCCAUUCAGAGGUCACUGUAUAUUGUUUUGAAUCUUUCCAGGAGUCUGCUUCCCAAGUCGUAGUGGUUUGUUUGAAGCUGCUGUUAUAUGUUUAUAAAUGGAGUUGUUUCUCUAGUGCUCUCAAAUCACUGAAGAAUGGGCCUGGUCAGUGCUCCCAAGAUGGAGAUUAACCAGAUCAUGACAAAUGGUGUAUCUCAUCCUGUUUGUCCAGCAGAUGAGGUAGCCCAUCAUCCAUAUGUCACUCACUUGCUGGAAUUGGAAAGAGUGAUCCCCCUUCUGUCAGGAAGAACUGGUCUGAGAAAGUCCAAUACCAAAUAUCCAGACAACAUCCUGGAUAAAGUCCAGGGGCUACUUGGAUACCUCAAUGGGUAACAUAGGAACUGUGUAAGAUCCUCAAACACCGUUUUCUUCUCUCCUUUCAAACUUAGAUACUUUUUUUUUUCUUUGACUCUCACUUCCAUUCAUUCAUGUUUUCCACUGAACAGUGUGGAAACAAAAAAUUGCAGACUGGUACUGAGAAGCCUGUUCCCUCCUUUCCAUCCCACUGGGAGGAGAAGAAAACCACUCAAAUCACUGCCACUAUUGCUGUUUCUGACACAACUCCACUGAUGCCACUAUUGUCAACAUCAUUGUGUUCAUGUACUACAGCCAGCUGCCUUCUGAGCUCCUGGACUUUAAUCAUGUGGCACCUACUCAGGAACUGAGGAUUUCAUGGCUGCCUUCUAAUGAUUCAGAGCAGCCUGGGCUGUUGAAUGUCCAAGGAAACACUUCUACCAACACAAGACUUUCCAAGCCAUUGGUACCUGCAUACAGGAAGACAUCGAGGAGAUGGUCUGUGUGGUGCCUGUUUUCUAAUCAAUUCAUUUUUCUGUCAAGAAUCACUUUCUUCUUUCCUAUUUUUUUUUUUAGCCUAAAGGCAGCUGCAUCAUGCUUUUUGAUAGUAAUCUAAAAAUAAAUCAAAGCAUACAUACAGGUACCUCAUUGUCUCCUCCCAGAUGCCUCUCAGUUUCUUUCCUCUUACCUCUUCUGAUACCUACAUCUGCAUCUCCUUUUCUGUUGUAUGAACCCUUAUUUUCAGUCUCCCUUGGCUGCUCUCCCAUUGACUGUAUAUGAGAAUCUUGUCUGAUGGUGAGACAGGAAGGAUGUUGAAGCUAUUUGUCUUUUACAAGAAGAAAGAGAACAGAUGCCAAAAAAAGGGGCAUCAAUGAUUAUAGCUGAGACUCCCUUUCUAAUUGCCUCAGCACCCACUUGUGGCCAACAAUGUCACCAAGACCAUGACAGGGGCAUGGGCAGGAAGAAGUACAGGCAAAGACUUUGCCACUUUUACAUUGGGACUUAAAAUGAUCUCCUCAGUAACCAAAAAAACACAAAGAAUUUGGUCCAUGGCAGCAGCUUUUCACCCCAAUCACAAGACCUCACAGAGCAGCUGUCACAGUUCCUUCUCUGUCCUUGCAUCCAGCUGCUGUGGCCAGUUUUUUUCCACCUGGCCUAGGAAGCAUGAAGACCUUUCUUUUUCCUUUACAGUGUUGGAAUUACUAAUGAUAAGUAGACUCACAUCCCUUUAAUAAAUCUAUCCAUAUCUCUCUUUUCUUCAGCAGCUUUCCUAGAGUUUGGAAGAUGUUUCUAUUAUUGGUGAUCUCUCACUCUCCUUGUGUUUAUCAGAUUGAGGCAUCCUCACAUCAAGAGAUAACAUUUUCUCUCUAAAGCCCUGCCCUGUACUAAAUUCCCAUACACACCUCAUACAGGAUACUCCAUGUAGUAAAAGAAAAACUCAUAAUCCAUCUGAGCUUCUAUCAGCAUUUCUCUUAUGCAGAUGAAUGACUGGUUGCUUUAGUUUGUUUCUUUGUUGAGCCUUUUGUUAUUCUUUGGGCAGAAUUGAAAUUGAAUACUCGCCUUCUUGAAGCUGAAUUUCCACUGCAGCCAAACUGCCCUUUACUCUCUGACUCUCUCAUUGGCAAGACUUCAUUCACUUCCUUCCUCAGUUCUCUCUUGUCAGAUGGGAGGCUUUGUAUUUUUUCCAAACAUUUCUGGCAAAAACUUUGAAGAAUUACAGUGAUAUACUUCUCUCAUUGUCAAAGGAAACCAUUUAUUUCUGUCUUUUGAUAUUUCUCUUUUAACACAGUAUUGACCUUCAAGAGAAUCUGAUCAUAAGAGAUUAAUUUCUUUCAGUCUUUGCUAAGAGGCCUUUAUAGAAGAUUUCUUGAAAUUGGUUUCUUACCCUCAUGUGACUGAGUCCUUCAAAGGGCUUCAACAGAUGGAUUAGGAAAAGCACCUUCAACAAAAGAUGUCCUUCAUAAUAUCAGUUCUAUCACUUUGUCUACUAAUCCUACUGUUUCAGUUAUUCAGUUGGUUUAAUCCACAGGUUACACACUACCACAGGUAGGUCUGCUUUCCUAUUCUUGCUCCAUUUGAGUGCGAGAGUAAAUCUACCUGCUUCUGGUGAUCUUCCCCUAUUCUUGCUAUCUCUGUUAUAAAAGCUCUCUGCAUCUGAGAGUUAGUCAGGGUGUAGCCUGACUGACUUCAGGAGCAAAGAUAGUUUAAACUGCUCCCCUUCUCCCCACUUCUAGGAGUCAUUCACAUCUAUGUGUCAGACUCCACCAUCAUCAAACUCUGUCAACACAUCUGGUUGUCUGAUCACUGUGGAAACCAAUCCUGGCUACAAAUAAUGCUAAAAAAAAAAAAAAAAAAAAAAAAAAAAUUUCUUGAACUACAGCAAGGAUGUGGGAACAAACAUCUCUAAGGGAAAGGAGAGAUAAGCAGGUGUUUCUUAAAUUGAUUUCUCCAUGAAACCACAUGGUUUUGUUAGAUAAUCAUGACCUUGUCAUGCUAAGAACGGCUCUCAUAAGUAAGUUUCUCCACUAUGAACUCCAAUUCCUUCUGCUGUGGCCAUGUGUUUACCUAUUACUUUUAUACCUUCAGCAUCCAUUGCCAUUUCAGUAGUCUGGAAGUUUCACACAUUUUUAGCAAAUUGUACCUCAAUGUAAUUUUUUAGUUCUGUCUUCUUAUAAUUUUACUUUUAACAUUUCAGAGUUCAUGUUCUUUUCUUUCUGUUUAGUCAGGACUUGUAUUUUCUCAGGAAUGUGUUUCAGUGACUUUUUUAGACAGCUAUUCAAUUGUGCCUUCUGUUUUCUUUUAACCCUUUUGGAUACCUGGCACGCAUUUUUCUCAUUGUCACUUGUGAGAUUUGUAGCCUCAGUAACUGCACCUUUAAAAUUUUUACACAUCCUCUUUUUUUUUUUUUUAAUAGUUCCUCUUUCUGAUAUUAAGCUUUAAGUGGAGUAAAUGGAAAUUCUGAGGUAGGGUUUCAAUAAACAGGAAUAUUAAAUGUGAAUAACCAAUAUGUAGAGGUCAACUACAUUAGUCAGGUAUGUAAAUGGUUAUUAACCAAGAAUCUUUCUUUCUUCCCAACUAUGCUUCUCUCCCUGACACACACUGAUAUAAUCAUGUGCAUGCAGUGUUUUCAAAAAUAAAAUUGAAGGAUGUAUGGAAAUGUGCUAAUUUCUGUUAAACCUUUUUGUUUAUAGCCUCGCAUGGGCUUCCUUUGCUUGCUGUAUGGCUGCAGCUGUCACCACUAUUAAUAAAUAUACAAAAACUAUUUUGGAAUUCAAGCACAAAAGAAAAACGCUGGCAAGGAGUUUAAAGA